rnacentral:rRNA from 1 species
UUUAUGGAGAGUUUGAUCCUGGCUCAGAGUGAACGCUGGCGGCGUGCCUAAUACAUGCAAGUCGAACGAUGAAGCUUCUAGCUUGCUAGAAUGCUGAUUAGUGGCGCACGGGUGAGUAACGCAUAGGUCAUGUGCCUCUUAGUUUGGGAUAGCCAUUGGAAACGAUGAUUAAUACCAGAUACUCCCUACGGGGGAAAGAUUUAUCGCUAAGAGAUCAGCCUAUGUCCUAUCAGCUUGUUGGUGAGGUAAUGGCUUACCAAGGCUAUGACGGGUAUCCGGCCUGAGAGGGUGAACGGACACACUGGAACUGAGACACGGUCCAGACUCCUACGGGAGGCAGCAGUAGGGAAUAUUGCUCAAUGGGGGAAACCCUGAAGCAGCAACGCCGCGUGGAGGAUGAAGGUUUUAGGAUUGUAAACUCCUUUUGUUAGAGAAGAUAAUGACGGUAUCUAACGAAUAAGCACCGGCUAACUCCGUGCCAGCAGCCGCGGUAAUACGGAGGGUGCAAGCGUUACUCGGAAUCACUGGGCGUAAAGAGCGCGUAGGCGGGAUAGUCAGUCAGGUGUGAAAUCCUAUGGCUUAACCAUAGAACUGCAUUUGAAACUACUAUUCUAGAGUGUGGGAGAGGUAGGUGGAAUUCUUGGUGUAGGGGUAAAAUCCGUAGAGAUCAAGAGGAAUACUCAUUGCGAAGGCGACCUGCUGGAACAUUACUGACGCUGAUUGCGCGAAAGCGUGGGGAGCAAACAGGAUUAGAUACCCUGGUAGUCCACGCCCUAAACGAUGGAUGCUAGUUGUUGGAGGGCUUAGUCUCUCCAGUAAUGCAGCUAACGCAUUAAGCAUCCCGCCUGGGGAGUACGGUCGCAAGAUUAAAACUCAAAGGAAUAGACGGGGACCCGCACAAGCGGUGGAGCAUGUGGUUUAAUUCGAAGAUACACGAAGAACCUUACCUAGGCUUGACAUUGAGAGAAUCCGCUAGAAAUAGUGGAGUGUCUGGCUUGCUAGACCUUGAAAACAGGUGCUGCACGGCUGUCGUCAGCUCGUGUCGUGAGAUGUUGGGUUAAGUCCCGCAACGAGCGCAACCCCCUUUCUUAGUUGCUAACAGGUUAUGCUGAGAACUCUAAGGAUACUGCCUCCGUAAGGAGGAGGAAGGUGGGGACGACGUCAAGUCAUCAUGGCCCUUACGCCUAGGGCUACACACGUGCUACAAUGGGGUGCACAAAGAGAAGCAAUACUGCGAAGUGGAGCCAAUCUUCAAAACACCUCUCAGUUCGGAUUGUAGGCUGCAACUCGCCUGCAUGAAGCUGGAAUCGCUAGUAAUCGCAAAUCAGCCAUGUUGCGGUGAAUACGUUCCCGGGUCUUGUACUCACCGCCCGUCACACCAUGGGAGUUGUGUUUGCCUUAAGUCAGGAUGCUAAAUUGGCUACUGCCCACGGCACACACAGCGACUGGGGUGAAGUCGUAACAAGGUAACCGUAGGUGAACCUGCGGUUGGAUCACCUCCUUUCUAGA